GUGGAGAAUAUUUCCUAUAAAAGUGUGGCUACUUUUAAGAGGGAAAAUCAGAGUCCAAUAAAUAAUUGAGCCAAUAAUAGUUCGAAAAAAGGUGCCUUUUAUACACAACAAAAUACAAUAAUUGAAACUAUUUACUAUUAUGAUAAUAUAUAACCAUUCAAUAAACACUGCUAUCAAGUUCAUUGAAUUAAAAUGUUUUGCAGGUUUUGAUGGAGCUUAAUGAAAUCUUCCCUGCUGUUGAAAAUGCCAAGAAAGCAAUCCAUUUUAGGCCUGAUUGGGCAGAAGGUCAUCAGACAUUAGGAAGAGCCUUGUUAAACAUUGGGGAGCUUAAACUGGCUUUGAGGAGUUUCCUAACUGCGGAAUUUUUGAAACCGGAUGCUCCUGAAUUUUGGGCAGAUGAUGUUAAAUGGACUAUCAGCUUAAUAGAAGAAGAGCAGCAGACCAUGAAAAUGGACACAACAUAAAUAGAAGAGAAAUAUUAAAAUAUUUACAUUUACAAGUGCCAAAUAAACAUCCUUAUGCAUAAUGCUGUUGCAAGAAAGUAAUGUCCUCACAUUGAGGCUCAUCAAGCUCUUAAUUACUAAUUUUCACAUGCCCAUCAAACAACCCCCGAAAUCACUUCCUCUAUACAAAAAAUGUCAAUAAAUUAUAUGAUAUAUAUACUUCCGUGAAAUAGACACAAGAAAUGAUAAAAGACAAUCUAGUACCAAAAAACAGUUUUAGAGCAGCUAGAUAAAUCUAUUUUCAAAUCAUUACAUUUUUCAAGAAACCCAACAAAGCAUUUGCUACGCCAGCUUCUUUGAGCAACAAAUAACUUGGGUGAUAAUAAAAUAGGGUGUUGUUAUAAGGAGCCAUUCAGUAAACGACAUUGUGAUGUAAUUAAUCGCUGUAUACUCAUAAAUGUAGUUAAUAUUUUCUACUUUUUUAAUAUUUUAGGAGCUACUGUACAAAAUUUGAACAACAUUAUCUGCAAAUUGGUUUCUUUUGUA